AUUGAACGCUGGCGGCAGGCCUAACACAUGCAAGUCGAGCGAGCGGCGGACGGGUGAGUAAUGUCUGGGAAACUGCCUGAUGGAGGGGGAUAACUACUGGAAACGGUAGCUAAUACCGCAUACCCUCAGAUGUGCCCAGAUGGGAUUAGCUAGUAGGUGGGGUAACGGCUCACCUAGGCGACGAUCCCUAGCUGGGCUGAGAGGAUGACCAGCCAACAUGGGACGUGGAAAAGGGCCAGAAUCCUAAGGGAGGCAGGAGGGGGGAAUAUUGGACAAGGGGCGGAAGCCGGAUGCAGCCAGGGCGGGUGGGUGAAGAAGGCCUUCGGGUUGUAAAGCAAUUUCAGCGGGGAGGCGUUACCCGCAGAAGAAGCACCGGCUAACUCCGUGCCAGCAGCCGCGGUAAUUC
rnacentral:rRNA from 1 species